rnacentral:rRNA from 1 species
AGUGAACGCUGGCGGCAGGCUUAACACAUGCAAGUCGAACGGGCGUAGCAAUACGUCAGUGGCAGACGGGUGAGUAACGCGUGGGAACGCGCCUUUUGGUUCGGAACAACACAGGGAAACUUGUGCUAAUACCGGAUAAGCCCUUACGGGGAACGAUUUAUAGCCAAAGGAUCGGCCCGCGUCGGAUUAGCUAGUUGGAGAGGUAAUGGCUCACCAAGGCGACGAUCAGUAGCUGGUCUGAGAGGAUGAUCAGCCACGCUGGGACGGAGACACGGCCCAAACUCCUACGGGAGGCAGGAAUGGUGAAUAUUGGACAAGGGGCGCAAGCCAGAGCCAGCCAUGCCGCGUGAGUGAUGAAGGCCCUAGGGUUGUAAAGCUCUUUUGUGCGGGAAGAUAAUGACGGUACCGCAAGAAUAAGCCCCGGCUAACUUCGUGCCAGCAGCCGCCGUAACAC